CAAUAGCAGUCGUAUCAAGGUAUCCGUAGAGGUGGAUUAGUGGCGAACGGGUGAGUAACACGUGAGCAACCUGCCCUUGACUCUGGGAUAAGCCUGGGAAACUGGGUCUAAUACCGGAUAGUACCCUUUGCCGCAUGGUGGGGGGUGGAAAGCCUUGUGCGGUCUUGGAUGGGCUCGCGGCCUAUCAGCUUGUUGGUGGGGUGAUGGCCUACCAAGGCGACGACGGGUAGCCGGCCUGAGAGGGUGACCGGCCACACUGGGACUGAGACACGGCCCAGACUCCUACGGGAGGCAGCAGUGGGGAAUAUUGCACAAUGGGCGAAAGCCUGAUGCAGCGACGCCGCGUGGGGGAUGACGGCCUUCGGGUUGUAAACCCCUUUCGGCAGGGAACAAGCCGCUUCGGUGGUGAGGGUACCUGCGGAAGAAGCGCCGGCUAACUACGUGCCAGCAGCCGCGGUAAUACGUAGGGCGCGAGCGUUAUCCGGAAUUAUUGGGCGUAAAGAGCUCGUAGGCGGUUUGUCGCGUCUGCUGUGAAAGCCCGGGGCUCAACCCCGGGUCUGCAGUGGGUACGGGCAGGCUGGAGUGCAGUAGGGGAGACUGGAAUUCCUGGUGUAGCGGUGAAAUGCGCAGAUAUCAGGAGGAACACCGAUGGCGAAGGCAGGUCUCUGGGCUGUAACUGACGCUGAGGAGCGAAAGCAUGGGGAGCGAACAGGAUUAGAUACCCUGGUAGUCCAUGCCGUAAACGUUGGGCACUAGGUGUGGGGGCCAUUCCACGGUUUCCGCGCCGCAGCUAACGCAUUAAGUGGCCCCGCCUGGGGGAGUACGGCCCGCAAGGG
rnacentral:rRNA from 1 species